AUCGAAAAAAUUUUCACUCAAAUCUUUGGAAAAUAAUUCGAUUACAAUUAAUCGGAGAAAAUAAUAAUUGCCAAGAUAAUUCUUAUUGGCGUGAAAGUCUCUUCGUCGCAAAAAAUCGAGGUAAUAUUUUUUUUAUCGACACAAAACAUUCUUCUUUGAUUAAACACGUCGGGCGUCUUGACGGCGUCGAACGAAGAAAGGAAAAAAAGAAAAAAGAAAAAAGAAGCACGGCCAACUUUAAUAUCGAAGCCAAGUGACGCACGUUGAUGCGGGAGAGCUCUCUCUCUCUCUUUUUCUCCUCUCCUUUAAAAAAUAAUCCGUGUCUUGAAUUAGAAACUCAAUCGUUCUCUAACGCGUGACUGAGAGAACGCACAUGUUUUCACAAAGGGUUGAAAUUGCUUCUCUACGUGUGUAGAAUCGAUGAUACUCACUUGUAAAUGUAUAAAUGAUGGAAAAUAUUCUUUUCAACGAUGCUUUAUUCAGGUAUUGAGAAGUCAAUCAUUUGAUCAAUUUGAUGAAAAAGAUACAAUGGUACAAUACAAUAGUUUUACAAAAUAAGUAAACACAUUGUUUGCUUCUUCUUCUAUGUGAAAUUUACCCUUUGUCUGGUAUAAACUAUUUUUGUGAAGCAAAUAAGCAUGUGUAUGUAACGAGGGUACGAAGGAGAAUCCCGAUAAAUUGCAAGAAAAGUUGGUAUAAUGUUGAUGAAAUAUGGUGGAGGGUGGCGAGUUGGUUUUAAGUUUACGACGCGCAGAAUAUCCCCCUGUUUUAAAGAUAAUAUCCAACAAGAGUAACGAAGGUCUUGGUCCCUUUCUAGAAAAGGGUCGCAAAAUCCAAACAUUGUGACCUUGCAUGCUCAACUACGCGAAUAACGGAUUAAAAAAUUAAUAAAAAUUAGAAAUAUGAAAUUAAUAAAUUGAUAAAAAUAUACAUGCAUUGAAUGUCGAAUAUAUCGUGAAUUUUAAUGAAUAUAUUGGAUUUUUGGAAAGAGUGAAAGUUAAUUUUAAUUCUGUAUAAUUUUUUUGUUUUAUAUACACUUCUUUGACUAAUUGAGUAUAGAAUAAUUUAUCAAUGGGCCACUGGAUGAUAUUUUCCUUUGUCCCAUGUGACCCAUAAGAUAUUUUAACACAAGUGACUGAAAAGUUUUAAGACAAGAUCACCAAUUUAACAGGUUACAAAUAUUAUUCAGAAAAAGCUAAAUAGUUUUUUAAAUUUGUAAAAUUAUAUUUAAACUCGUCGUCAAAAAUAUUUUAUAUCCAUGUAUUCUUUCUUACAAAUUCACGAAACAUUCGUGCAAAAAUUCGCAAAAUGUAUCAAAGUCGAAGAAUCUUAUUCUCGAAUGUGCAAAAACUCACUCAACCAUUUUUAAAUUAAUUAAGAGAUCUAGCACAACAAAUAAGCUUUCGUUCUUCAACCGCGAAAUCUUUUAUUAACAAUUGUUCGCUCUCAAUCUUUGGCUUGAUUUUCUGAGUGAAUUGAUAUAUCCAAAAGGGUCCCAUCGGGUUCCGUUUCCCUUUUCCUCGCGAAAAGGUAGGAAGGGUAAACGUUGUCACAGUAUCUUCUUCGUUUGAUCUUUCUCCAUUGCGCAAAAGACUUCCUUUUCAGUGAAAAUAAACGCGGUGUGGUCGUCGCUUUAGAAUUUUGUGCUCGAUUUCAGAUUGUGGAUAGAUGGUUUGAGGUUAUGAUUACAAAAGUUACAAAAUUAACAAUGUGUUUAAUUUUUUUCUCUGAUUGAUAAUUAAAUUUGUUAACCAUUGUUCUUGGCUAUAAUUAAAUGAUAAUUAUCGAGCAAUAUUAAUUAUUCUUAAUCAAAAUAUUUAUGCUAUGUAAAUAUCUAAUGAAAUUAUUGACAUUUACUACUCGCUUUAACAAAUUGUUAUCUAUAUUAUUGAUCCUACUACUGAAAAAUUCUUCGACUGUGAUUACCUUUUUUCAUUUGUCUGCCAGCAUCACAACUGGUUUAUUCUUAGUUGAUUAUGAUUCAUAAUUAGUCCAUCUAUCUGAGAAAAAAUUAAAAACAUGUCACAGCUAUUGUGUCAGUAAAUGAAAUAUAUUUCCAAGAGAUAAUGUAAUUCGAGAGAUAAUUUACUUAUUUUUUGGUGACAAAACAUUUAUCAAUAUCUUCUUUUUUUUCCAUUUUCGAGAUUACUGUAUCUCCUUUUUCGCUUGCAGGUGUAUACAUUUUCAAUGAAAAAUCGUUUCCAUAAUCCUUGAAUCGAUGAUACUCCUUCGACUGGUUUCUCCGUAUAUCCGUGAAAGAAGUUCUUCGAUUUUACGAGUUCACAGAAAAAAAAGGAAAAGAAAAAACGUUCUCAUUCCCAAACAACAAUCGUAGCAGCGCAGACACGUGACAAUAACUCGGGCGAAAAUUCUCAGAGCAUCUGGAAACGUCGUUAUUCCCCGAUUCCCUGCCAUUGUGUCGCAUUCGAUCUGUCAAAGGGGUUGCAUCUUUUCUCCCCUCUUAUUCGAGGCGAGGAAGAGCCGAGGAUCUUGCGCAUCCUCCAUUCGUCCCUUUUUCUUUUUCUUUUUUUUUUUCCACGAGCAAGACGAGAGUCGUUCAAAGGGAAGAAUCGUACGUGCCUCGUCGAGCAUAUAGAUUCUUUCCAACUUGUCUAGAGACGUCUGUCUUUGUACCUAUCCAUUUGUCUAUCCAUUUCACAUGGUCUAUUAAGCAAACUGUCAUUGGAUUGUUUCAAAUUUUCUUUUUUUUUCUUUUUUCAGUUGUUGUAACGUAGAAUCUUUUAUGUUGAAUUUAUAUACGCGUGUAAAGAUGCGACUAUAUCCUGUAUAUUUAUACAGGAUUCAGAUAUUGCAUUUUCCUCUUUUUGAACAGACUUUUUGAACAUGUAACAAGCUCAAUAUAGUGAAACAAAGGAAUGUUGGGUAUAAAUAAAUUUAAACUUGGAAAGAAUAGCAAGUGUUGAUUAUUCCAAUGGUUCAAUGCGAGGUGCAGAGGUAUUGAUUGGCUCCUUGUUGAUGAAAGGAAUAACUUCAAUGUAAAAAUACAAGUAAAACAAUUUUUUACAAUCUAAAUUUUAAUCCACAAACGAAAAGAAAUCAGAAACAAGUGAAUUUUAACAGAUUAAGAUAAGAUAUAUCAAUAUCAUUCUCCACUCGUCCACUAUAAAAAAUAUUAUUAACAAUAAUUAACAUUUGAUUAAGAUGAUCAAAACAUUAUUAAACAUUGUACAAUUAACAACAUCUAAUAGACAAGGAAACAAGAGCUCGAUUCCAUGAGAAAAAAGAAAAAUAUAUAUAUAUUUAGAACGAAGAUUCCACUCUACAUCUUAUUCUCCAACAAAUGGAUAACAUUGUCCGUACGAAACGGAUCGGUGCACCACAACCGGUUGUUACAAGCGAUUCGAGCAGCUCCCAGGGACAGAAAGGCACCAAGUUUAAUCUAGCCUGUGCAAUCUCGUCUAAACGUAUCGAAAUCCGGUCGAAUAUAAAUCACAGGGGUGUGAGGGGGUGAGGCGUAUCCGAAAGCGAGCCAUCAUUUAUUCAACGUUUCGCCUCUGAUCCCUAGCCAACCUGAAGGGGGUGGAACUGGACUUCCUGGACACCUGGAAUUCCCCCCAUAGCUUCCUACUAUUCCCUCGUAAUCAUGCCAGGGGAUUAGUUAGUGACCAGCUUCGCUUUGUAAUCGCCAGUGUUUCUCACCCUCUCCUCCCCUUUCGACACUCUGAAAGACGUCGUAAAAGAAACGGAUAAACGGAUAUUGUACACUCGUAGGAGUGAUGCAAGAUUUAGCUUUAUAGAUAGUGGAUCUAACGAGGAGAUUAUUCCGUGUUUUACAAGCAUGCGAUUCGGCUUAUUGUCGGGGAUAAAUAGUUGUAACUUUCAAUUGUUAUUCUCUUGUUCAACGUGGGGAGGGGGAGGGGGGAGUUUUUCGAAAAUGUUUGGACAAUUUGAGGAAAGGAAAAAGGGAGAUUCGGUUUUAGGGAUGUGUUAUCUAUCGGACAAGUGAAUUUGCGAUUGAAUGAUCGAUCUGUACUACUUGUUCCAACUAUAAUUGAUUUAUUUUACUUGUCCGGUUAGGUUUGAAUUAUCGAUCGUUUCAUUUUUCUGAUCGUGACAGGCUUAUCCCAUUAUUUGUAACAACAGCCACUGUCCAUUUGUCUGGUAUAUGAUCGAUCUGUAUUACUUAGUCGAGAAUGAUUGAUUUAUUAUUGUCUGAUCGUUUAAAUUAUAUUUCGAUGUAAUAUGGAAUGCUUAAAUGAUGCUUUUCGAUAAAUAAAAGCAUCGUUUAAUUUAAAUGUUAUAUAUAUCACAAUGCAAGUACAAUAUUAUAAUUGGUAGAGCAAUUGUUGGGAAAUAUUCAGUUAUAUGAAUGUUAUGUGGAUUUUAGGGAUGUAAGAAAUGUUUCUAAGUGAACCAGAAUGACAUUUUCAUUUUAGAAAAAUGAUCCUCAACCUGAGAUGGCUGAAUGAGUGCAUCAUUUAUGCAGAGAGCAAGUUUAAGAGGCAAAGAUACAUUUUUAGAAAACUUCUGAUUCUUUUUCCAACCAAGCAGUGAAAAUUUUAUACGCUGUUACUCUGAUAUUAAAAUAUAUCCUCAAAAAUAAAGAAACACAGUGUUUGAGAUAAACUCACAUAAUUUUUCUCAAAUAAAGCAUAUGAAAUAUUAUAAAGAUAUUUCUAUUUGCAAUGAGAAAAACAACAUGAGUACAUUUGAUGUUCAUUUUUGAUACAUUGUCGACUAAAAUCAAUUUCCUUCUGAUUAACAAUAAAAUGUUCAAUGAUUAUUAGAAUUAUUAGAAAAACUAAAAACUACGAUUAAUAAAAAUAAUAUUCAGGAAAUCGAUCCACGACCAAGAAUUAUCGUUCUAAAUCUUUCCAUGCAUCAUAGUCCCACUGAAAUGGAAUAAUUUCGCGAUAUUUCAUCCGAAAUGCGUUUUCGCAUUGCAGAUUUUAGGCAAGGGAGAGGAUUAAGCGACAUUUUUUUUUUUCGAGAGAGAGAGAGAGCUUUGCCCUCGAGCUUUCAUCAAUCAUCGAGCGCGUCGGUGGUCGGAUCGACGAGGUUGACAAUGGGUGGCGAUUCUUCCCUCGAAUAUGUCAGCCAUCCUUAUCUUCUAACAUCAAUCACGCGUUUAGGAUUAAUAGCCGUGGAUGAGACAGUGAUUUUCACGAUUACAAAACUGACAGAUCCUUUUGCUUCGUUCUUAUUAUCCCCGCGACGAAUAUUGUAAUAUUCACACGUCGGAUAAGAAGAUCAAAGAAUUUUUUAAUUUUUUAAUCUAUCUUAAAGAUUGAUCCUUAUUUUUUUUUACUUUUCAUUCGAUUUAAAAUCAAAUUUGUCUUUGAGAUAUUAAUCUAGUUCUGCAUGAAUAUUUACAUCGAUAUUUCAUUUUAUCUACAUUUUCGUUCUUCCUUCCUGAAAUUUAAAUUCAAAAUCCAUUCUUCACAAAUAUCUCGAAUCCACUCCAACAUAAUUCACUCUUUCGAAAAUUCCACGAGUAUAUAGCAUUCCAUGUAAAAAAUAAACAAUAUAUAAAUCCAUGGUAAUGUCCAAUUUCACGUAUUUCCGGAACCGGAAGAUCGUCAUUCCGUUCCUUGAUUAACCAGAGUUUUCUUCUCCCCUCCUUGCGAGAGAGAGAGAGAGAGAGAGAACGAAACAAUUUCUCAGCUCAUAAAGAAGCCAAUGCUUCCUAGCAGAGAUGUUUUGGAAAAUUGAUCUCUCCGUUGGAUUAUUCGGUACACCGACAAUGAAAGGCUUUAAAUUGGAGUUGGUGGAAGUUUUAGUCCUUGGCAACGAUGUGUUUUGGGAAAUUUGGGAAAAUUGCGUGCGGUGAAAAUUGGAACAUUGAUGGUAACUGAUAACCAAAUGGUUUCCACGAUGAAGAUUCGUCGAGUCGAAUGAUUGAAAGCAUAGUGGAAGAAGGUGAUGAAGGAUUUGUGUAAAAAAGAAAAGAAGCCAAUUUAUUGUAAAGCGAUCGACUCGUACUACUUUUCUCGACGAAAUUAUCGAGCAUACUACUGAUCGAAUUAUUAUCGACUCUGUCGAUUGAUUCUUGAUUUUGUUGCUUGUUUGAUAAAAUUACCGAUAAACUAUCGGUUUGGCCAAGUACUGUUGACCCUAUAUUGCUUGUCUGAUAAAUUUACCGAUAUACUACUAUUUGCUCGAGUAAAUUAUUGACCGCGUGGUCCGAUCAAUUUUCGAUCGUACUACUUGUUUGGCAAAAUUAUUGAUUUGGCAUAUAUAUUUAAAUUUGAAAUUUAAUUCAAACUCUUGAUGUCUUCUCAUUGAGUGAGAAAGUGUGUUUGAACGAAAGUCAAGAGUGGAAAAAGUGUUUUAUCAAAAAUAGCCAGAGGUUAUUUUUCAUUAAAGAUAAAGGAAGAAUGUAAAAUAAGAAGAAUGGGGCUCCAUCCAUUUUUUGCGAAGAAAUGCAUUCGUACUUAUUUGUAUCCCGUUCUAUUUUAUAAAAGUAACAUCCUCCCUCUAAUCCAUCUCUGACUGUAUCACGCUGCACCAUUGGAGGGAAUAUUACGGUAUAUUAAAUUCUAUAAGAAAUCGUUUCUCCUCGAAAUAUAUUGCAAUAACAAAUUAUCUUUCGUUUUCCUAAGAUUGAUAACCGAAGAAGUAUUUUCCAUUCGUAAGAUCAAAAGUUAAAAUUAAUUAAAUAUCCUAUCAUUUUUUAUCAU